GAACAAUCUCUGCCUGUAUGUCCGGAUGAAAACAUUACAUGUGUAAAUACACCUGGAAGCUUUGAAUGCAGAUGUUCGCCUGGAUAUUUGAAUACAUCUGGUGUAUGCUUAGACAUUGACGAAUGUGCUGAUAGCAGCAAACCUGUAUGUGAACAGAUGUGUCGAAAUACACCAGGAAGCUACAUUUGUGAGUGCAGUGAGGGAUUUAAACCUGACAAAUCAUCAUGUGUGGAUGUAAAUGAGUGUGCGGCUGUGUCACAAUGCGACCAUAACUGUAUAAACACCAUCGGUAGCUACAGGUGUACCUGCA